AAGUUUUCCUCCAUUUUAAAAAAUAUCUCUAAGUUCCUGAUUAUUUUGUUCACUUUGAUAACUUCCUUAUCUACUUCCUGAGUUUGAGUCUCUUACAUUGUUCUUAUGCUUAGUUGACUCCCAUAGAUGGUCAUUUAUACUCUUUCAAAGGAGAAGACUUAGUCUUUAUCUUGUAUUUUAGCUGACUCAUUCUCUUUGGUGUCCACUACUGAGGAGUUGUGAGUUUAGGUGGAUGUCAUAGUGGGUGGUUUUCUCAUAUAUUUUGUGUUUAUUCCUUGUGCUUUGUCAUCUGACGAAUGUAUCUUCUAACUUUCUCCUCUGUUUUAUCCUCUGUCUCACAUGAUUUCUCCUGGUAAUUGGUCUUUACUUGGACUUAUGUUACCUACCCUUUUUAGCAGCAAAUGUGCCUGAACUACCAGACAUAAUGACUCAGCAGAAGUCCCAGUGCUGACUUACAGUAGAAAAUACUAGGGCACUUUUCCAAAUCGCCAAUAGAGUUCAAAGACAGUGUUAAUGUAAAAAUGUACUUUUUUGAGUUAAUGUUUAAAUCAUAAAGAGAAUAAGGAAAGGAAAUUUACAAAAGAAGGACUGAAAUUAAAAUGAGAAAGGAAGCAUGUGAGUCAUAGUUUAGGACAAGAGAGAAAUUGUUGUAAGACUUGAGUCAUAAAAGCUUUGACAGCAAGAUUAAAUUAUAAGACAGCAACCUAACAAAAUAUAAACUUACAAAUAUGAAUAAAUACAGUCUUCAGGAAAUGACAUGAACAUUGCAUUUGUGAAAUCACAAAAAGAUUGUACCUUUAAGCAUUCUAUCAUUGUCAGGAUGUUCAACCCUAUCUGAAGAGCUACAUUCUGUUGGUGCUUGCUUGGGGGAGGAGAAGUCAUAUUCCUCAGUGGUGUAAUGCUGAUAAGCAGUUGUCUUUCUCCAGGAACUCCCCUGCACAGGUCCAUGCUCAUGGAAGAAAUCCUACUUGAAGGUAGUGGGCCACAAGAAAAGGAUAUAAAUAUAAGGAUGAGGUGGUUUCACUCUGCUUGGAAUGAUUUUGAAUUAGUCUUCAAAAUGGGAAAGGCAGCCAAACAAGUUAUCAGUUGGUCCUUCCAGAAGAGGAUUUCUGUGAUGAAAGACCACAUUUCUGUCAGAAGUUUUUGAGCUAAAUACUUUCAAGACAAAGAAUUAAAAGAAAAACACACACCAAGACUGAUUACAUAUUUCAUAAUAUGAGGUUUUACUCAGAAACACACUCCUGAUGCAGACCACAGAUGAAGGAGCCAUGGUUGGGACCGUCUGGUCUGGGAUGUGCAGGUGUGCUUCUCAUCUGGACUCCCCAGGGAGGCUAUGCUUAAGGAGCUCCAGUUUUUGUUCAGCUUGUGCUAUCAUUUUAAACACUGUGAGUAUAUUCCCAGAGCGCACAGAAAUACUUCACUGAAUCUUCUAGCUGUGAGGCUGAAAUAACAAGGCUGAUGGACUUGGCUGAUUCCUGAAAGACAACAGAGUAGCGGCUGCUCUUCUCAGUCUGAGUAGAAUAAGAAAACUGGCGAAUAAGAAAAAUCAUGUCUCCACUAAGAAGCUGCUUGUACCAAAAAAGAUAAUAAAAGUUCCAACUUGUCUCAUAUGAACAGUCCAGGGUGAUUGAUUCCCCCUCCAGUGUGCUUGCGGUUGAUUGGACCUGAGUCACUUUCUGGCUCAAAUUGGAUCCUGCAGAAAAAUCAAAAGAAAGAAAAAAGCUCAUUCUGUGAUAGUGUGAACAAAACAUUGUUGGAAUUCGCUACCUUGAGACCCAAGACAAACCCAACUGAAGACAUAUUCUGCUUGCUUCUCUCUAAUCCCUGUUCCCCAUCAUGUCCACGCGAACUGCUACAUGCCUAGGGCAAGGCUUCCUGCUUAAUAUACUUAACUAUAUGUAAGACAUCCAUACCAGAGAAGGCCAAGGCCACAAACACACAGAGCAGGCUGUGAGGAGAUAUGUGGCACAUCUCCUUCGCUAUGAAUAUGUCUCCUCGGCCUUAGAUCAGUGUCAAGUGACUGCACAUGUACUGUUAUUCCUACAUCGCCUCAAGCAGGAAAUGGGGUUUUGUAUGAUCACAGGCCACAAGUUCCUUAUACAGAGAGAAACAGUGUAGCUCACCAUAGACUUUUAUUUGCUUCCUGUCUUUCUUGGUAGUUAAAAGAGGCAGCACUUAAAAGGGAGAAUGGGAAAACCUGUCCCUGCUGAGCAUAAAGCUACUUUGAACUCAUGGUUGUUAUUUAGAGGGAUAAUUUGGGAGACCCAAAGUCAGAUUCACCAAGAGUCAUGUGCAGUCUUUAAUGCACUUACAGACCAUUGUCUGUGGUGAUAUUGUGUUCCCCCAAAUAUCCUGCACCCUAAUAAACUUACCUGGGGUCAGAGAACAGGACAGCCACAAUAUUAAACAUAGAGGUUAGGCAGUGGUAGCACAUGCCUUUAAUCCUAGCACUCCAGAGGCAGAAAUCCCUCUGGAUCUCUGUAAGUUCAAGGCCACAUUGGAAACAGCCAGGCAUGGUGACUCAAGCCUUUAA